rnacentral:tRNA from 1 species
GGUUGUGGCUCAGUGGUAGAGCGCUGGCCUAGCUGUGCGAGGCCCUGGGUUCCAUUCUCAGCACCA